AACCCUCGUUCUUCCUCUUUUCUUCCUUCGAGUCCACGGCUUCUCAUCACCGUGCUGACUGAAAAUCGGGGCCGCGACGCUCGUCGGAGCCGAUUACGUUCAGAAAUCAGAUGUAAGAACAGAUUUUACAUGCAGCAUCUCAAUGAAUGAUGAUAAGGUUGGCUUCCACGAAAUUAAUGCCACAUGCCAAAAGUUGCAAGACAUUGUUCAUGAAGGAAAUAUGAACACGAGGGGAAAAAUCAAACUUUUCUACCAUGAACUAAGUUGUACUAUUUUGGAUCUGAUUUACGUCCAACAGAGGGCAAGAAUGCUGUGUGCUUUCUCGGAAGAAUGAGAGUUUGCAAGAAAUUUCAUCAUUCAUGUGGCAGUCUCGUUGUCUCGUGGUUAAGAAUGUCUUAUAUGUACAUGACCUAAUCAGAAGAUGCAAUUCUGAGGGAACAAAAAAACCAAGAAGGCAUAAAGCAAUACAAGCUGAGAAACAAUGUGAAAUACAUUUACAAAGCACCAGCCAAAGUGGCUCUCGGCAAUCGUAGUUGAAGCUUUAGGCUUCAAUAUUAAAUGGAAGUUGAAAUUUUAACAUUGAAUAUUACUAUAUUUUAAAAGGUUAUUGAUCUAACUGUUGGAAAAAAUUUCAGGGUAGCUAUGUUCUCACAUCACUUACUGAUCAAGACAGUUGAAACUUUUCUGACGUUCUUGAAAGUAAGAAAACCUUUUACUUGAUGUAACAGGAGGGCUAAUAGAAUAACUCACUGUUAAUCUGUUUCAUUAUUAAUGAAAUAGGUAAUAUUUAGAAUGCACAGUGGUAGAAGGCUGUUUGACUUGGAGAAGUUGACAAGCACAUUUGCAUUGGAACAACAAAAUAUGUGGAAUAAGUAUUUCUACUAGCUUAGGCAGAUACCGCACAUAGGGGUGAUUCAAGGUAGUGCAAUGCUUCUGGGCCAAAUGCAAAUCCAGAGGAUUUAACAUUCUUUUUCAUAUAUUCAAUUCUCUUUCUUUCAGUUUUGCUGUGACUGACAAGAGUUGGAGUUGGAGAGCGAUUAUUGGAAGAUAAAGAGACUAAGGGCACAUCAUAAUGAAAGUAAUGAAGUAAUUUUAGGAUUAACGCAUAAAUAACAAAAAAAUUCUUACAGUUGAGCAGAACUAAAUUGAAAUAAGCGUGAGAAAGAACUUGCAUAAGGUUACAAAUUCCAAAUUUAUCUAACAACAGAUUACAAAGUAAA